rnacentral:rRNA from 1 species
CUUUGGGGUGACCUGCGGAGGUCAUUAACGAGUUAGGGUCCCUCGCGGCCCGACCUCCCAACCCUUUGUCUACCUGACCACUGUUGCUUCGGCGAGCCCGUCUGUAAUGGACCGCCGGGGGGUACCUUGAUCGGCCCUCUGGUCCGCGCUCGUCGAUAGCCAAACUUUUAAAAUCUUAACCAAACGUGUCUCAAUCUAAGUAUUAUUUGUUAAAUAAAAGCAAAACUUUCAACAACGGAUCUCUUGGUUCUGGCAUCGAUGAAGAACGCAGCGAAAUGCGAUAAGUAAUGCGAAUUGCAGAAUUUCAGUGAGUCAUCGAAUCUUUGAACGCACAUUGCGCCCUUUGGUAUUCCGAAGGGCAUGCCUGUUCGAGCGUCAUUAUCACCCCUCAAGCCCCUGGCUUGGUGUUGGACGGUUUGGUGGAGGCCCCCUCGCGGGGCCACCGCCCCUCCCAAAGACAAUGACGGCGGCCUCGUUGGACCCCCGGUACACUGAGUUCUUCACGGGACACGUAUCGGACACAUGGGUUUACGGGACACGGUCUGCCUCCCCUCAGGGAGAAUCUUUCUAAGGUUGACCUCGGAUCAGGUAGGGAUACCCGCUGAACUUAAGCAUAUCAAUAAGCCGGAGGAAACUCA